CAAGAAAUAGUUUAAGUAAAAUUUUAAUUUUGGAGAUUAGGGAUAAGAGUAAUCUUUUUCUUGA
rnacentral:tRNA from 1 species